rnacentral:rRNA from 1 species
AGAGUUUGAUCCUGGCUCAGAUUGAACGCUGGCGGCAGGCCUAACACAUGCAAGUCGAGCGAGAAAGCACUUCGGUGCGAGUACAGCGGCGGACGGGUGAGUAACGCGUAGGAAUCUACCUGGUAGUGGGGGACAACUUGUGGAAACGCAAGCUAAUACCGCAUACGCCCUAUGGGGGAAAGCGGGGGAUCUUCGGACCUCGCGCUAUUGGAUGAGCCUGCGUAAGAUUAGCUAGUUGGUGGGGUAAAAGCUCACCAAGGCGACGAUCUUUAGCUGGUCUGAGAGGAUGAUCAGCCACACUGGAACUGAGACACGGUCCAGACUCCUACGGGAGGCAGCAGUGGGGAAUAUUGCGCAAUGGGCGAAAGCCUGACGCAGCCAUGCCGCGUGUGUGAAGAAGGCCUUAGGGUUGUAAAGCACUUUCAAUUGGGAAGAAAGGUUGUACGUUAAUAGCGUGCAGCUGUGACAUUACCUUUAGAAGAAGCACCGCUAACU